ACAACCUUACUUGAACAGGACUUGUUCUAUAGGAUUGUACAGCCAAAUCUACCCGGACUACACGCCUCUCAUAAGGCCGGGUCUAGCUCUAAAGUGUGAAGGAGGCUCUAAAUAUCACGCC
rnacentral:snoRNA from 9 species